CGAGGGUUAGUCGGUCCUAAGCUGCACCAUAACUUGAGUGCAGCAAAAGGGAAACAGGUUAAUAUUCCUGUACCGUGCGUUAAUAAUACUGACGCAUCGGGUUAUACAUAGCGGGACCGUCGUCCCGUCCAAUCGUAUAAACUCUUGGAGUACCGUAAUGGUGAGAGUUGAGUGAAAGCGUGAUGGCGUAAGUGUGUAAACACCUGGUGCCCGUGAAAAGGUAACGCAAUGUCCGUACCGAGAACCGACACAGGUGCCCCUAGUUGAAAAGACUCAGGCGUGUCGGAAUUAUUUGUGGUAAGGGAACUCGGCAAAAUGGCUCCGUACCUUCGGAACAAGGAGUGCCUGCCUAGUGAUUAGGCAGGUCGCAGUGACCAGGGAGCUCUAACUGUCUAACAACAACAUAGCAGACUGCAACUCCGUAAGGACUAGUAUAGUCUGUGAAUCCUGCCCAGUGCGGGUAUCUGAACACUGAUUACAAUCGGACGAAGGACCCGUAAACGGCGGGGGGAACUAUGACCCUCUUAAGGGAGCGUAAUACCUUGUCGCUUAAUUGGCGACUUGCAUGAAUGGAUUAAUAAGGGCUCUACUGUCCCUACCACAAAUCCGUUGAACCUUUUAUCCUUGUGCAGAGGCAAGGGACUCCCAUCGGGAAGUGAAGACCCCAUGGAGCUUUACUGCAGCCUGUCGUUGACUUACGGUAUUACAUGCGCAGCGUAGAUAGUAGGUGUUAAUGCUCAUAUUCCGGUAUGAGUGGAGCCACAGUUGAGACACUAUCCUUGUUCUGCUGUAAUUCUCACUCAUCUUUCAUGGUGAGGACAUCGGUAGGUAGGCAGUUUGGGUGGGGCGCCACACCCUCGAAAAAAUAUCAAGGGUGCCCUAUGGUCAACUCAUGUGAGUCAGCAACUCACAGGAGAGUGUCAAGAGCAUAAGUUGGCUUGACGUGAUUUCGCACAGCAAGAAAUCACGAGUGGAAACACGGGUCUAACGAACCAAUACGCCUUUUUGGUGAGGGCUAUUGACUACAGAAAAGCUACCCUGGGGAUAACAGAGUCGUCGCCGGCAAGAGCACAUAUCGACCCGGCGGCUUGCUACCUCGAUGUCGGUUCUUUCCAUCCUGGCUGUGCAGCAGCAGCCAAGGGUGAGGUUGUUCGCCUAUUAAAGGGGAUCGUGAGCUGGGUUCAGACCGUCGUGAGACAGGUCGGUUACUAUCUGAUGGGAGUGUUCGAAAUCUGAGAGCAAGAAUGAAAUAGUACGAGAGGAACUUUCAUUCGUCACCUCUGGUGUAUCGGUUGUCUGAUAAGGCAGUGCCGAGCAGCUACGUGGCACGAGAUAAAAACUGAAAGCAUCUAAGUUUGAAACUUCGCUUGAAAAGAGAUUUCGUUACAGAGCACCGGUAAAAGACCGGGUUAAUAGGCUUGGGAUGUACGCACGAAGGCAACGACGUGUUCAGUCCGCAAGUACUAACGCUCAAAUCCAGAUUC
rnacentral:rRNA from 1 species